GGUUCAAUGGUGUAGUUGGUUAUCACGUCUGUCUCACAUUAUGGCACAGCUGUCUACGUGCACAGGAGGUCUCCAGUUCGAGCCUGGAUUGAACCA